rnacentral:lncRNA from 1 species
GACUUUAAAAUAAUUUUUUAGAAUUUAAUAAGUAUUUUUAAUAAUUAAAAUCUAAUUUUUCUAAUUUUUAAAUCAUUUUCGGAAAUUACAGAAAAUAAAAUAAAUAAAAUCCGUCGCUAAAGGCUAUAGCGACAGACAACCGUCGCUAUAGGUGUUCUUCAUCUCAAGAACACUGUCAGAGACAGUUCAAGGGGGCUACUUUGACCAUGAAUAACUUUUUGGUCUUAAUGAAUCUGGGAAAUCUAUGAAUUGGG